ACUCCUAACACAUUUUUGGUUGACUUUAUUCUCACAUCGGGAUGGGAAAGAUCCAACAUGGAUCCCAUGAAUGCGAGUUGACCUCGCCGAAGAUCGUAGCAAAUGGGAUCUGCAACAUCUGCUACAGAGAUGAACCUGUUGAAUUUGCCUGCGACCCUUGUAACUUCGAUCUCUGCAAAGCUUGCUCGGAUCUCCCCCUAAAGAUGUCACACCAUCUCCACCCGGAGCACCCUCUAGAGUUUCGUAUUGGCGAAGAUGACCGUAAAACCAAAUACAUGGUGUGCGUCGGGUGCGGGAACAUGUCAUCUGGAACCUACUACUACGAGUGUGACAAGUGUGAAGUCUAUCUUGAUUUGGGCUGUGCACUUCAGAAGAGCAUUACAACAGGUUGGGAAGCCAAAGAAAUGCUCCAUUACAGCCAUGAACACUUGCUCAAAAGGUGUAGGCCAGGACCAGACUCCAAAGGCUCUUGCCUUCUCUGUGAGCAACCUCUCUCUUUCACUGCUAUAUGUUACGGUUGCGUUCACUGUUACAUGUUUUUUCACGAGCGUUGCCUUGAUCUACCCACAGAGUUUCAGCAUCCUAUUCACCCUAUCCACCCUCUCAAACGCCUUGAUUACAUACAAGCUUUUGAUGGUCGGAAACGUUGUAAUGCCUGCCAUCGCCAAUUUGCUGGUGUCCCGUUUGGUUGCUUGGAAUGUGAGUUUUACCUUCACCUGAGAUGUGCAGAUGCCUUGUUGCGGGGUUUGUUGUAUAAGUCUCAUGAACACAGACUGGUUUAUGUAGAAAGUAAUAAUCGUGGCGGCGUUGAUGAUAGAAUAAAAUGCCCAUGUCUAAUAUGCGAGAAAACUGUUAUCUAUAACAGAUUCUAUUAUUUGUGCGUCGUUUGUGAUUUGAGAUGUCAUACCGAGUGUCUUGAGAUACCUGAAUAUGUGCUCAAGAAAUCAUAUCACGUUCAUCAACUUAGUUACAAAAGAGUCGGAGCCAUGGACGGGGACGAGGACGAUUUUUUGGAGUAUUGUGGUGUUUGUGAGACAAUGGUAAUUUCAGGACAUCCUGCAUAUUCUUGUGAAGAAUGCGAUUUUCUCGGUCACACUGAAUGCAUUCUACGCGAGGAAGAGCCUUCCCCAUUGUACUUGAAAGAUUUGUACUCUUGCAGCAAAGGCAACACUAAAUCUCAAAAUCUCAAAGACCUUGGAACUAGUGAAUUUGAAGAUAGGUUAUUGGUUAGUGGCUUCAAUCAUAUUCAUGUGAUGAGACUAGUCCAUAUGAGUGAGCUUGAGGAAGAAGGAAACUGCAGCAUGUGUGGUACAAAGAUACAUGAUAAUCCUUGCAAAUGUGAGACAUGUAGCUUCCAGUCACAUGAUUUUUGUGCAGAGCUUGGGCGGCCAUCUAGGCAUCAAUUUCAUUUGAACCAUUCUCUGACCCUUCUACCAAAUUCCCCAAGAUGGAUGGCAAGAAAGUGUGAGUCAUGCAAAAAGAAUGUAGAAGGGUUCAAUCUCUUCUGUCGUACAUGCAAUUUUAUCAUCGACAUCAGUUGCGUUUUGAAAAAUAAGAAAAUGCAUGGUGCAUUACACAUGGGUCAGAAAAUCAUUGGAACAUUGGUAGAGCUUUGCAUACAAGACAAACAUAGCUUGUUUCAACUUAUCGUCUCAAGGUCAUAUCCUAUCGCUUGUUCUAUUUGUGGUGAGAAGUUUUGUGGAAAAGCUUUUUCAUGUGUGACGUGUGACGAUAUAUACCACCCUUUGUGUAUCCAAGUUGGGAGGCAAGUAUUAGUUGGUCAUCCACUUCAUUCUGAUCACAUGCUAGCAAUAAUUUCACUUGAAAGUGAAUCCAAGUGCACUGCCUGCCAAAUGAAUAUUACAACAAAGUAUGGCUAUCAUUGUUCGCUUUGCAAAAUCAAUUUCCAUAUUGAUUGCAUCAAAGCAGGGAUAGUACCAAGCAAGAUCAAGUCUCAUAGUCACUAUCUCUAUAACUUUUGGAACAAUGAUUUGAGGGUGACUCAAGCUUGCAGUGUGUGCACUAGACCUUGUGGUGUGUCUUACUACGGAUGUAUUGAUUGUAAGUUCAGCGCCCAUGUACAGUGUAUUGGGUUACCAUCUAAUGUGAAGAACCAACAGCAUCAACAUACUCUCACACAGGGAUAUACUUCUUACAGAGACAAAUGGUCUGUCCGUGAUACAUACAUGGAUAAUAUAUUCUACUCAUGUUAUCAUUGCGAGAAAGGAUUUGACACUGAAAAAAUCAUGUCUACGGACGACCGUGAGGAAGCAACAGAAGAGGAGCAACUUCAAGACAUCUAUCUUAUGUACCUUGAGCGUGACCUCCAUGACCUUGUUAAGUUGUGAUCAGUCUUUUGCAGAAGAUGAUGUGACCGAAGCCAGUGACUCUUCUUCUUAGUUUCGUUUUCCUUCACCUCUCUGAAAUUGAAUACUGAAAACUACUCCCUUAUUAUAUAAGGUUUAUGGCUCAAACUCUACUCGUUUAUGUAUACAAAUAGAAGGUGGCGUAUUGAAAGACUCGACUCGAUCGACUGUGAUGAAUCUAAAAAUUGGGUCCAGGAUCGAUCAUAUUGCAAUAGACAAAACUGUAGAGGAUCGUGUAACACCUUGUGAGAGACAGAUUAGGAAUGAAGACUAAUUCAGGAACAAAUCAAGAAGCGUAUUUAAACAGAUGAUAAGGGUCAAAGCCGAGUUCUUUUGAGUCACUUGCGAGUUGCGACACGUGACCAGCAAGAUACUUCUGAAGAACUGCCACGUAUUGGCCAUGUGGCAGAUUUCAAGACCAUGGCUUGAGG